AACGCAUCUUGCGCUCCUUGGUAUUCCGAGGAGCAUGCCUGUUUGAGUGUCGUGAAUACUCUCAAACUCAAGUUUUCUUAACGGGGAGCUUGGGUUUGGACUUGGACGCUGCUGUGAACUUGUUCACGGCUCGUCUCGAAAUCCAUUAGCUGGUCCACCUCGGUGUUAACAAACGGUGUGAUAAGAAACAUUCAUUUGUGACUGUAGCGCUGCUGUUAUUCGUUGGGGACUGCUUCCAAUCGUCGCAAGACAACAUUCAUGUCAUCUGACCUCAAAUCAGGUAGGACUACCCGCUGAACUUAA
rnacentral:misc_RNA from 1 species